GGUGCUGCAUGGCUGUCGGUCAGCUCGUGUCGUGAGAUGUUGGGUUAAGUCCCGCAACGAGCGCAACCCUCGCCAUUAGUUGCCAUCAUUCAGUUGGGCACUCUAGUGGGACCGCCGGUGAUAAGCCGGAGGAAGGUGGGGAUGACGUCAAGUCAUCAUGGCCCUUACGGUUUGGGCUACACACGUGCUACAAUGGCGGUGACAGUGGGCAGCCACCCAGCAAUGGGGAGCUAAUCCCAAAAAGCCGUCUCAGUUCGGAUUGGGCUCUGCAACUCGAGCCCAUGAAGUCGGAAUCGCUAGUAAUCGCGGAUCAGCACGCCGCGGUGAAUACGUUCCCGGGCCUU
rnacentral:rRNA from 1 species